rnacentral:rRNA from 1 species
CUACGGGAGGCACCAGUGAGGAAUAUUGCACAGUGGGGGGAACCCUGAUGCAGCAACGCCGCGUGGAGGAUGACGCAUUUCGGUGUGUAAACUCCUUUUAUAUGUCAAGAAAAUGACGGUAGCAUAUGAAUAAGCACCGGCUAACUCCGUGCCAGCAGCCGCGGUAAUACGGAGGGUGCAAGCGUUACUCGGAAUCACUGGGCGUAAAGGACGCGUAGGCGGGUUGGAAAGUCAGGUGUGAAAUCCUACAGCUUAACUGUAGAACUGCACUUGAAACUUCUAAUCUAGAGUAUGGGAGGGGGAGAUGGAAUUAGUGGUGUAGGGGUAAAAUCCGUAGAUAUCACUAGGAAUACCUAAAGCGAAGGCGAUCUCCUGGAACAUUACUGACGCUAAGGCGUGAAAGCGUGGGGAGCAAACAGGAUUAGAUACCCGUGUAGUC